rnacentral:rRNA from 1 species
GCUUGCUCCCGGAUGUUAGCGGCGGACGGGUGAGUAACACGUGGGUAACCUGCCUGUAAGACUGGGAUAACUCCGGGAAACCGGAGCUAAUACCGGAUAGUUCCUUGAACCGCAUGGUUCAAGGAUGAAAGACGGUUUCGGCUGUCACUUACAGAUGGACCCGCGGCGCAUUAGCUAGUUGGUGGGGUAAUGGCUCACCAAGGCGACGAUGCGUAGCCGACCUGAGAGGGUGAUCGGCCACACUGGGACUGAGACACGGCCCAGACUCCUACGGGAGGCAGCAGUAGGGAAUCUUCCGCAAUGGACGAAAGUCUGACGGAGCAACGCCGCGUGAGUGAUGAAGGUUUUCGGAUCGUAAAGCUCUGUUGUUAGGGAAGAACAAGUGCGAGAGUAACUGCUCGCACCUUGACGGUACCUAACCAGAAAGCCACGGCUAACUACGUGCCAGCAGCCGCGGUAAUACGUAGGUGGCAAGCGUUGUCCGGAAUUAUUGGGCGUAAAGGGCUCGCAGGCGGUUUCUUAAGUCUGAUGUGAAAGCCCCCGGCU